rnacentral:rRNA from 1 species
UACAGAGGGGGCAAGCGUUAUUCGGAAUUAUUGGGCGUAAAGAGCGUGUAGGCGGCCAGGUAGGUCUGCUGUGAAAACUCGAGGCUUAACCUCGAGAUGUCGGCGGAAACCAUCUGGCUAGAGUCCGGAAGAGGAGAGUGGAAUUCCUGGUGUAGCGGUGAAAUGCGCAGAUAUCAGGAAGAACACCCGUGGCGAAGGCGGCUCUCUGGGACGGUACUGACGCUGAGACGCGAAAGCGUGGGGAGCGAACAGG